GGGCCCGUGGUCUAGAGGCUAUGACGCCCGGCUUACGCCCGGGAGGUCCCCGGUUCGAAUCCGGGCGGGCCCA
rnacentral:tRNA from 1 species